rnacentral:rRNA from 1 species
CCUACGGGUGGCAGCAGUGGGGAAUAUUGGGCAAUGGGCGCAAGCCUGACCCAGCAACGCCGCGUGAAGGAAGAAGGCUUUCGGGUUGUAAACUUCUUUUCUCAGGGACGAAGCAAGUGACGGUACCUGAGGAAUAAGCCACGGCUAACUACGUGCCAGUAGCCGCGGUAAUACGUAGGUGGCAAGCGUUAUCCGGAUUUACUGGGUGUAAAGGGAGCGUAGGCGGGGGCGCAAGUCAGAUGUGAAAGCCAGCGGCUCAACCUCGGAACGGCUUUGGAAACUGUGUAUCUUGAGUACUGGAGAGGGAGGCGGAAUUCCUGGUGUAGCGGUGAAAUGCGUAGAUAUCAGGAGGAACACCGGCGGCGAAGGCGGUUUACUGGACAGUAACUGACGUUGAGGCGCGAAAGCGUGGGGAGCAAACAGGAUUAGAUACCCUUGUAGUC